CCGUAGUGUAGUGGUCCAUCACGUCUGCCUGUCACGCAGAAGAUCGCGGGUUCAAAUCCCGUCGGA
rnacentral:tRNA from 2 species